CAAAGAGAGGAGGAAGGGAGGGGAGGAGCUGAGAUCGGCAGUUAAGUACAGUGUAAGAGGUGUAGGUAUGAGCUGGAAGGCUGUGCCUGGGGUUCAGAUGCGAGCCUGUGCUUCUCAGGAGAAUUGCUGAUGGAUGCCCCUGACUGGGUUGGGAGAAGCUGGGCAGGAGUAGAGGGAAAGAACUGAUGCGACCCAGGUGGUUACAGGAAGGAGGUAAAGGAAGCUAGAAGGUUAAGGGGGGCGGAGUCACUUUCUAUGAGCAACAAAGGGAAAUCUGGGAGUGCAGGAACCUGGAAGGUCAUGUGGUAUAGAAAGGGAAGAGAGACAACUCUGAAAACUGUAAAACAAGCUGCCGCUGUGGUCUGAAUCAAGUCCUUUAGAAGCUCGCUGAGAAAUCUUCUCUUCCUUCCCAAGUCUCCUUCAAUCCCAUAGAGAACCAACACAAGAGGGAAAGAGGAAGAGUCGGAGCAGAGUCUCUUCCUAAAAGCCACCAUCUGUGGGCGUGAGUGUCUUUGGUCCACGGAUUUCUCCUAAGACCCAUGAUGAUUUUGAUGAGAGAGUAUUGAUUUUAUGGUUCAUUGUAAACAUGGACUUGACCCUGUGACUUGCUUGGCCUCAACACAUGAACAAAUGUACUGCACGUAGAUGCUUGAGAAGGGCUGUGCGUUAGGGCUUGCUGUCUUGCUGUACCUGGAACCCUGAGACAGCCUUGUGAAUGGCCUGAGCUACUCUGCUGCAUGAAGAGAGAGACGCAGUCAUGUCCAUGUCGCUCCACUAACAUAUGCCAACCACCAGAGAUAACACUGAGGCUAUGCUAGACCACAUGAUGCCAGCUGAACUGCCAGCCGCCUAGAUGUGUGAGUGAGCAGCACACAUCAGCUGAGCAGACCCAGACCAGAACUACCACUUGGAAAGUGUGCAUUGGAUUCUUUCCAACACGGAGAAUUAUGGAAAAUACUAAAUGUUGUGAUUUUAAGACACUACAUUUUGGAGUGUUGUUAUGUAGUAAAAGCUAACCGAUACAAUGGUAUUUUUCUAAUCUCUUAAAACUUUUAAAUGCUGAAACUACAGGAUUAGGAUGAGUUCAGAAUGUGAAAAUAUAGUCUUAUGAUGUAACAUUUCUUAAGACUGGCCAUAAAUUCUAUUGAAAUUUUGAAUUCUAUUUGAAAUUUAAUUCCUGAGGAAUUAAAUAAUUGAUAAAGAUUUUUAAAAAAUACUUUAUUGACGUAUGAUUGACAAAAAACUGUAGAUAUUUAAUGUAUACAGCUUGAUGUGUUUGGGAAUUGGUAGAAAUUUUUAUUGUUUUUUAUAAUCUCUAGUGAAGAUGUGAAAUUGAAAUUGGUUGGGGUUAAGAUUUCCAGUUAGUAAAUGAAUAAAAGAAGAGCUGAUUGUCCCAGA